rnacentral:rRNA from 1 species
CCCUUAGAUGUUCUGGGCCGCACGCGCGCUACACUGAUGCAUUCAACGAGCCUAUCCUUGACCGACAGGUCCGGGUAAUCUUUGAAUCUGCAUCGUGACGGGGAUAGAUUAUUGCAAUUAUUAAUCUUCAACAAGGAAUGCCUAGUAGGCGCAAGUCAUCAGCUUGCGUCGAUUACGUCCCUGCCCUUUGUACACACCGCCCGUCGCUCCUACCGAUUGGGUGUGCUGGUGAAAUGUUCGGAUCGGCCGUUUGUCGCGGUUUCCGCGGCUCGUGGCUGAGAAGUUCAUUAAACCCUCCCACCUAGAGGAAGGAGAAGUCGUAACA